rnacentral:tRNA from 1 species
GGAUGUGGCUCAAGUGGUAGCGCGUUCGCCUAGCAAGCGUGAGGCACUGGGUUCGAUUUUCAGCACCA